CCGCACAAGCGGUGGAGCAUGUGGUUUAAUUCGAUGCAACGCGAAGAACCUUACCUACCCUUGACAUCCAGGGAAAAGCUUGUAAUGAGCUUAAUGCCUUCGGGAACCCUGUGACAGGUGCUGCAUGGCUGUCGUCAGCUCGUGUCGUGAGAUGUUGGGUUAAGUCCCGCAACGAGCGCAACCCUCGCCGUUAGUUGCCAGCAGGUUUGGCUGGGCACUCUAACGGGACCGCCGGUGUUAAGCCGGAGGAAGGUGGGGAUGACGUCAAGUCCUCAUGGCCCUUACGGGUAGGGCUACACACGUGCUACAAUGGCAGUGACAGAGAGCUAAUCUCAAAAAACUGUCUCAGUUCGGAUUGUCUUCUGCAACUCGAAGGCAUGAAGUUGGAAUCGCUAGUAAUCGCGGAUCAGCAUGCCACGGUGAAUACGUUCCCGGGCCUUGUACACACCGCCCGUCAC
rnacentral:rRNA from 1 species